rnacentral:tRNA from 1 species
GAAUUAGUAACUUAAUUGGUAAAGAGCUUUUUUGUCGAAAAAGACGAUGUCGGUUCGAAUCCGGUCUAGUUCG